GUGGUUUUAGUAGGGACUCUGCAGCGUAGGUGUGUGAGCUCACGGUGUGAAGUGUUAAGAUGGGCCGACUCGCCACCGCACUUGUAUCUGUUUCAGCCUCAGAGAUGGAGAGGCCUGUCCUGAGAACAGUGUCACUUCUUGUAACACAAAAGGCGACCCAUGUAUUUACCUUCAUCUUCAUUCAUUCUCCGUUUUCUCUGUGGACUGUGAUUUACUGUGCCCUAACAGUGAAAUCUAGAAAACGUGUCGCUUGCAUGAAUUUUAUUUCCAUUGUCUGCAUCAGUUGUAUGGCAUUCCCUCUCCCUGCCUUUUUUCCAAGUCUGGCCGGACACUG